rnacentral:rRNA from 1 species
UGAAUACGAGACGCUAAGGCGUCGAAGUAGUGUAUGUCAUACUUCCAAGAAAAGCUUGCACUGUCAUAGAUAAAAAACGCCUGUACCAUAACCGACACAGGUGGGUAGGUAGAGUAUACUAAGGGGCGCGAGAUAACUCUCUCUAAGGAACUCGGCAAAAUGACUCCGUAACUUCGGGAGAAGGAGUGCCUUAUUCUUAAGGUUGCAAUAACAAGAUCCAAGCAACUGUUUAUCAAAAACACAGGUCUCCGCUAAGUCGUAAGACGAUGUAUGGGGGCUGACGCCUGCCCAGUGCCAGAAGGUUAAAGAAGUUGGUUAGCAUUUGCGAAGCUGAUAACUGAAGCCCUGGUGAACGGCGGCCGUAACUAUAACGGUCCUAAGGUAGCGAAAUUCCUUGUCGGGUAAGUUCCGACCCGCACGAAAGGCGUAAUGAUUUGGAUACUGUCUCGGAGAGGGGCUCGGUGAAAUAGACUUGUCUGUGAAGAUGCGGACUACCUGCACCAGGACAGAAAGACCCUAUGAAGCUUUACUGUAACUUGAAAUUGAAAUUGGACUUUAUUCGCGCAGUAUAGGUGGGAGGCGUUGAUUAUAAUCUUGCGGGAUUAUUGGAGCCAUCAGUGAGAUACCACCCUUGUAAUGUUAGAUUUCUAACUUUGAAUCAUUAUCUGGUCAAAGAACAGUUUCAGGCGGGCAGUUUGACUGGGGCGGUCGCCUCCUAAACGGUAACGGAGGCGUACAAAGGUUUCCUCUGAACGGUUAGAAAUCGUAUCUAGAGUGUAAAGGCAUAAGGAAGCUUGACUGUGAGACCUACAAGUCGAGCAGGGACGAAAGUCGGUCUUAGUGAUCUGACGGUACUGAGUGGAAAGGCCGUCACUCAACGGAUAAAAGUUACUCUAGGAUAACAGGCUGAUCUCCCCCAAGAGUUCACAUCGACGGGGAGGUUUGGCACCUCGAUGUCGGCUCAUCGCAUCCUGGGGCGGUAGUACGUCCCAAGGGUUGGGCUGUUCGCCCAUGAAAGCGGUACGCGAGCUGGGUUCAGAACGUCGUGAGACAGUUCGGUCCAUAUCCGGUGUAGGCGUUAGAAUAUUGAGAGGAGCCUUCUUUAGUACGAGAGGACCGAGAAGGACAUACCUCUGGUGUACCAGUUAUCGUGCCAACGGUAAACGCUGGGUAGCUAUGUAUGGAGUGGAUAACCGCUGAAAGCAUCUAAGUGGGAAGCCCACCUCAAGAUAAGUAUUCUCA